UCGGGAAUUUUGGGCAAUGGGCGAAAGCCUGACCCAGCAACGCCGCGUGAAGGAUGAAGUAUUUCGGUAUGUAAACUUCGAAAGAAUAGGAAGAAUAAAUGACGGUACUAUUUAUAAGGUCCGGCUAACUACGUGCCAGCAGCCGCGGUAAUACGUAGGGACCAAGCGUUGUUCGGAUUUACUGGGCGUAAAGGGCGCGUAGGCGGCUUGACAAGUCACUUGUGAAAUCUCUGGGCUUAACCCAGAACGGCCAAGUGAUACUGUCGCGCUAGAGUGCAGAAGGGGCAAUCGGAAUUCUUGGUGUAGCGGUGAAAUGCGUAGAUAUCAAGAGGAACACCUGAGGUGAAGACGGGUUGCUGGGCUGACACUGACGCUGAGGCGCGAAAGCCAGGGGAGCAAACGGGAUUAGAUACCCCCGUAGUCCCUGAGCGGGCUGGCAAGGCGCAU
rnacentral:rRNA from 1 species